rnacentral:rRNA from 1 species
UGCCAGCAGCCGCGGUAAUACGGAGGGGGUUAGCGUUGUUCGGAAUCAUUGGGCUUAAAGGGUGCGUAGGCGGUGCGGAAAGUUGGGUGUGAAAUCCCUCGGCUCAACCGAGGAACUGCGCUCAAAACUUCCGUGCUGGAGGAAGACAGAGGUGAGCGGAACUAAGGGUGGAGCGGUGAAAUGCGUUGAUAUCCUUAGGAACACCGGUGGCGAAAGCGGCUCACUGGGUCUUUUCUGACGCUGAGGCACGAAAGCUAGGGGAGCGAACGGGAUUAGAUA